GCCCCCCAAGUCUGGCCACCGCGAGGCUGCGCGCCGCGUGCCGUCCCCGGGCCUCCCAAGGUCGCCCCCUCUCCCUUGCCUGCGGCCUGCGGGCCCCUACCCACCGCUCCCCCGGCGCCCCAGCCCCCCAGCUCCAUGGGGCGAUUCAUGGUCCCCACCCCACCCCGGACGCCGGCCCCACGGAGGAAUGUGCUGCGACCGGCCCUGCCCGCGGUGACUCACUGCCCGGGAGCCCCGGGAAGUGCCCGCGGCUGGGGCCGGCCCGGGGCGCGGUGACGGCGGGUCCCAGACCCCUACCCUCCAGGAGCCCUGACACCCAGCCCUGCUGUUCAGGGCUUGUGGGGCAGAUGGAGAACGCAGCCCCUGUUCCUCCCACACCCUUGGGGCCCUUUGGGGGAGACCCCCUGGUGCCCCAGCCCGCCUUAUGUCCCACCUAGCCACCCAUCAUCCGCGCCUGGAAGGACCUGCCCUCUCUCCCCUGGGUCAGGCAGAACGGGAGAGCAGACGUUCAGAGCUUCAGUUUUCCCUUCUGUAAAAUGGGGACAGUGACACUUGUUAGAUUAGGUAACCCACGGAAAGUGCUGGAACAGCUCCCCACAGUGUCCAGUAAGUGUGAGGGGAGGAGAGGCCGUUCCAGCUCCCUUCCUGGGGGCCGUGGCGGCUCUACGUCAGGGGAGGGAAGGAGGACGACUCCGACUGCGACCGCGGGCGGGCGGGCGGACGGCCGGAGGUCCUGGGAGCCGAGGGGGCGCGGAGUGCAUGGCGGGGAGCGGGGAAGGGGGUCGGCCGGCCCGCGGCGGGGCGGGGGCGGUGAGGGCGGCUGAAUCAUGGCCUGCCAGCCGGACAAGGCUUUUUAUUUACCCUCUUCCUUUAAAGGGUUUUAAUAGGAGCAGGAAGUGACCGCGGGCUCCUCCCGGGUUCCCAGGGGGUGGGGGUGGGGAGAGCCGGCAGAGAUGGGGGGGGCCCACCUUCAACACCCCACCAGGCUGUGAGCUGGGCAGGUGCUGUAAAGCAGACACAGCAAGGAAGACCCUAGUGGUGUGGGGCUGGGAGAGCCACCCUAGCCCUGCAAAACGGAAACACAGGUGCCCUGGUUCCAAAAGCAUUAACAUUUUCAGGACGGUGACUGGUGACUGCCGAGCACAAAGCCAAGUGUGGGACGUUCUGGGUGCAGGCCCAUUAGGCUGGCCCUACCUGCCCUCGCUGUGUGGCCUGGGGCAAGUCCCGUCCCUGGCCCUUCAGGGUCACCCUGAGGAAUGAGGGUCACCUCUGGCUCAGAACAGGCCUGGGCAGAUGGCUGGCAGGUGGCAGCUGCCCAGUGGUCCCCACCUGUGGGUCCAGAGGGCCUGUAGGAGGGCUGGGCAGCAGAGAGGGCAGAGGUGGGGCCCAGGACGAGCAUAGGGACUGCUGGUCAGUGUUCUGGUGGGGGUGGAGGAGGGAGCUGGCCAGAAGGUGAAGGCAGCACGGGGUGGGUAGGUGGGUGGGGGAAAGGAUCUCCCCUCGGGACAACACAGGGCAGACUUGUAAGGUGGUAAGUUUCCCAUCACUACAGGCAUCCCAGCAGAGCUGGCCAGCCCAUGACAGGCUAAGAGGAUUCCAGCAUCAGGCAGGGUGAGACGACUGACCCUCCAUCCAGGGGCUCUGCCACCAUGGGGCUUGGGCUGUGGCUGUGCUGAGGGGUCCUCUGGGCAGUGGGACCCGGGAGAGGCAGACCAGGGCGGAACUCUGUGCCGCUGCUCUCGGGAGCCACUGUGAGCCUUUGGGUGCCCAGCGCUCUGCCCAGACCCCCUCCGGGACCCACCAACACCCCGCAGCCCCCGAGGCCAGUCAGCAGAACCUCAGACACUGGCAUUGCUUAAGCACCUACUGUGUGCCUGCAGGACUGGCAGGUGCUAGGACCCUGAGGAGAGGGGAGGACCCCUGCCUGCCCUAGGGAGCACCAGGGUAGCUGUGAGGGAGCGGGGGCUGAGGGUCUGGGGCCAAGAGGAUGGCUUGGAGGACUCCAUGGGGAGGGCAGGCGCCAGAGAGGGUCCCUGAGGAGCCCAGGUCAGUGAGGCUGUGAAGGCUUGCUAGGGGCUGGCGUGCCAGGCCUGUGCUGGGAGUGCACCCAAGGUGGGCAUACUUCUCAGCACAUUUCAUAGAUGUGGGAGGAAGGGACAGGAGAGAUAGGAGCAGAGACAGGGCUUGAAAGUGCUGAGGAAUGACUGAGCAAGAGGAGAGAAGUGAGCGCCCUUGAAGACAAGUGAUUUCCCAGCUCCUGUGAGGCCAAACCAGCAUGAAGCCGCCAAACCAGCAUGAAGCCGGAGCGAGGAGGGACCCUGUCCCCACCCCCAAGCAGGCCUGUCUGAGGCCCUCUGGAAUGUGGGAGCCAAGAGCUGACUUUUCACCCACAGUGGGGACCUUCUAGGGGGAUGCCCCCCCAGGCCAUUUGAUACCUAGGACCUCAGAGGACCCACCAGGACGGACCCCCUGGUGUGGAUUCAUUCAGGCUGCACCCGUAGGGAGCCACGCUCCCCGCUCCCCACCCCACGAAGGGUUCUAGCCAGGUUGGUACAGGAGAGGGAGGAGCCACUGACCAGAGACAGGAGCCUGGCACCUGCAGGGAGGCCAGCAUGGCCCCGCCCAGCCGGCCUGGCCUCGUGUCUCCCUCGUGGUCACUCCAUGAGGUGGGGGUGCUUUCUUGGUUUUGCAGGGAACAGGGUAGGGAUCUCAGAGAAGUUAAGGGACUCAGGAAGUGGCCUCCCCCAAGCAGCUGAGCUGGUUCUGGGUGGGGGUGUCUGGUGGCUGCUUCUCAGACGGGGAGGGGGCCACACUGGGCCUUGUCUCACGUCAGGCAGCGCUGAUCUCGGCCAAGUUUACUAAUAUUUAUCCCAGGGCCACAUCCGGGAUUCACCGGAGCCUGACUGAGGGAACUCCCCACGGGCAGACAGAGAUGGUCCCCGAACACCCAGCUGGGGACACCUGCCAUCCCGUCCAGCUGGGUGAGGAUGUCAGGCAGCCUGGGCAGAGGCGAGGGCGCUUCUUUGAAACUCACCAGGGACCCUGCUCAGGAGCCACUACCAGCUCCGGGAGUGCAGUGACAUUCGUCUUUGGGAACCUCCAGGCCCAACCUGGGCGCUCAGGAAGUGCUUCUGGAAAUGGGUGGACCUGAAAAGCAUCUAUCUGCCUGUCCGAGACUCCCCACUCUGGGCAGAGCAACCGACGUGGGGAUCACUUGCUUGUCUGUGGAACCGAAACAGCUGCUGAAAAAUGAAGACUAGAGUCACCAUGUGACCUAGCAGCUCCACUGCUGCAUGUGUCCCCCAGACGUGAACGCAGGGACCUGAGGUGCUUGCCCACGCAGGUUCACAGCAGCAUCAUUCACAAUGGCCAGGAGGUGGAGGCCACGCAAGUGUCCCCUGAUGGGUGAAUGGAUGCACAAAAUGUGGUCCAGCCACACGAUGGGAUAUUACUGAGACGUGAAAAGGAAGGAAAUGCUGACCCGGGACACAGUGCUGAUGAACCUUGGGGACGUGAUGCUCAGCGAAACAAGCCAGACGCAGAAGGACGAAUCCUGUCUGAUGCCACUCACGCUCAUGUGUGCCCCCCAGAGGCACCAAAUUCAUAGUCGGACAGUCGGAUGGUGGGGGCCGGGGUGGAGAGUGAGUGUUUCAUGGGGACAGUUUCAGUUUGGUAAGACAAAGACGUUCUGGAGACAGACAGUGAUGGUGGCUGCACAGUAUUGUGAAUGAACUUAACGCCACUGAGCUGUGUGCCUAGAAAUGGUUAAGAUGGUAAAUUGUAUGUUACGUAUGUUUUACCAUAGUUAAGAAACUGUGUGUCUGCCAUCUUUGUCAUGCACAUCCUUGUGUCUGUUUGAGAGCCUCUGGAGUGGGUUGAUGGUCCCCAGAGGUGUGUCUGUGUCCUCAUCCCCAGAACCUGUGACUGUGACUUACAUGGUAGAAGAGUGACUGUUACCUUGUACGGCAAGAGACACGAUUAGAUGAUUAAAUUCAAGAGCUUGAAAGGA